rnacentral:rRNA from 1 species
GAUGAACGCUAGCGAUAGGCCUAACACAUGCAAGUCGAGGGGCAUCACAUGAAGUAGCAAUACGGAUGGUGGCGACCGGCGCACGGGUGAGUAACACGUAUGCAACCUGCCUUCAACAAGGGGAUAACCCGUUGAAAGACGGACUAAUACCCUAUAACACAGGGGUCCCGCAUGGGAAUAUUUGUUAAAGGACAACCGGUUGAAGAUGGGCAUGCGUUCCAUUAGCUAGUUGGCGGGGUAACGGCCCACCAAGGCAACGAUGGAUAGGGGAACUGAGAGGUUUAUCCCCCACACUGGUACUGAGACACGGACCAGACUCCUACGGGAGGCAGCAGUGAGGAAUAUUGGUCAAUGGACGCAAGUCUGAACCAGCCACGUCGCGUGAAGGAAGACGGCCCUACGGGUUGUAAACUUCUUUUAUACGGGGAAUAAAGUGCCCCACGCGUGGGUUUUGCAUGUACCGUAUGAAUAAGGAUCGGCUAACUCCGUGCCAGCAGCCGCGGUAAGUACGCAGCGA